CUGUAGCGCAAUGGAUAGUGCGUUGAACCUUCUAAUCUAAAGGCCGUGGGUCCAAAUCCCACCUGAAAGG